AGUUCUGGACCUGGCAAGGGCUUGUUAUGGUGACAAGAGGCAGGGGAGGCAAGGUACAGAUGUAGAAGGCAGACUGCAGGAAAGGGGUGAAGUAAAGGCGAGAUUCAAGCGACUGUUCUAAAAGAUCUCAUCUUUAUGAUACUGAAGCCAUGUCCUGGAGGAGCAAGCUUGAGAAACAAAAGGUCCAGGAGUGGAUCAAUUCUCUUCUGCAGAUGCCUGAACAAAGCUCUCCAGUUUAGGAAAAUAGAGUUCUUGUUUCAAAGCAGUUCCUGAGAACUGCCCAGAUUUGAAUUGAAUAGUUCCCGAGCUACAAGCUGGAGCAGAUGAGUCCCCUGGGAAGAGAGAACCUCAAAUGAGAAAUGCCAAUGCCCCCUUCAGACUGGCCUCCAGGUCCCUCUCCAGAGCUAGGUCCUCUUGGAGGUUUUUUCUCCCAGCAAUGGAUCUGACUCCAUGUGACCUUGGCCAAGUGGUCAUGAAGACUUGACUGGAAACUUGAGUCACCAAUGGCAUUUGCAAUCCGGAGAAGAAUCUCUGCUGGGAACUUCAAGUUGAACCCUUAGACUCUCAGUUUUCAGGAAAGAUUAUGAGCCACGAGAAACUACAAGACACUGUGAUUCUCAUGUGGGAAAAUGAGCUGCCUGCUGAAGACCUCCAAUCACUUUAA